AGGUCCGCUGUGUUGGAUCAUAAGCGCUAACCAACUAUUCCAAAAAUACGUAUUGAUAAAAAAGGCGGACUCAUCACACUUAAGGGCUCAGCCACAGUGCUCGCGGAUUUCAACCUGACUCAACCCAUCUGGACGUUGAGUCUAUUGUUGAACCUCUUGCCGUAAGGCCUCUUGUGGACCACACCUCCAUUCAACUUAUUACGCUCAUUCAACUCAACUUAUUAGUUUUCUGGGCCUAUUGUUACGGAGUAGGAUGUUAGACCUAUUUUAGCCCAAUAAUAAAUAGCCAACUUGCUGUACUUCUCUCUGCUGGUAGAGAAAGUCUACUAUAUUAUACUUGCAUCACAUCAUCAGUAAUAAGCCAAUCAUAUCAUUCUAUUUGAAAGAAAAGUAUAAAAAAAAUAUAUUUCUAUUAAUCAUGAUGAAACGUAUCAACUGAAAAGAUAUAAUUUUACUGGUCGAGGGAUGUCACAUCAGCAAUAUAUCUGGUGCAUUUUAGAUUUAUUUUCUGCCGGUAGGGAUAUCGACCUCUGGUACUCAUUUUAUACAUAGACACUAUUGGUUACGGAAUAAUACGUUGUUUCCCACCUUUUCCCUUUCCUUUAUUUCAGCUGUAAUAAAAAUAAAAAUCCGAAUAGAAACAAAAAUAAAAGGGCAUAAUAUACGAACUAAACAAAACUCUGAUUUUUUUUUAUUGGCCAAUUUACAGAAAAGAUUCACUAGUUUGAGUUUUUGCAAAAGUGAGCCACAAUUUUUUAUUUUGUAGAUUCGGACCGAAUUUUUAGAAAACUGACCAAAGUACCUUUAUUCUUUUCUCUCACUUUUUUUUUU
rnacentral:lncRNA from 1 species